GACGUAGGGGGCAAGCGUUGUUCGGAAUUAUUGGGCGUAAAGCGCUCGUAGGCGGGACUGUAAGUCCGUGUUGAAAGACCUCGGCUCAACUGAGGGACCGGCUCGGAUACUAUAGUUCUUGAGGCAAUCAGAGGGUGAUGGAAUUCCCGGUGUAGCGGUGAAAUUCGUAGAUAUCGGGAGGAACACCAGUGGCGAAGGCGGCUCUCUGGGCAGAUACUGACGCUGAGACGC
rnacentral:rRNA from 1 species